UGGGGAAUAUUGGACAAUGGGCGCAAGCCUGAUCCAGCAAUGCCGCGUGUGUGAAGAAGGCCUUCGGGUUGUAAAGCACUUUUAUCAGGAGCGAAACGCUGUCGGCUAAUACCCGGCGGAACUGACGGUACCUGAGGAAUAAGCACCGGCUAACUUCGUGCCAGCAGCCGCGGUAAUACGAAGGGUGCAAGCGUUAAUCGGAAUUACUGGGCGUAAAGCGUGCGUAGGCGGUUUCUUAAGUCUGCUGUGAAAUCCCCGGGCUCAACCUGGGAAUGGCAGUGGAUACUGGGAGGCUAGAGUGUGUCAGAGGGUGGUGGAAUUCCCGGUGUAGCGGUGAAAUGCGUAGAGAUCGGGAGGAACAUCAGUGGCGAAGGCGGCCACCUGGGACACANGUGACGCUGAGGCACGAAAGCGUGGGGGAGCAAACAGGAUUAGAUA
rnacentral:rRNA from 1 species